UACGUAGGGUGCGAGCGUUAAUCGGAAUUACUGGGCGUAAAGCGCGCGUAGGCGGGUUGGCAAGUCCGCUGUGAAAGCCUGAGGCUUAACCUCAGCGGGUCGGUGGAUACUGCCAGUCUUGAAGGCGUUAGGGGGAGAUGGAAUUACCGGUGUAGCGGUGAAAUGCGUAGAUAUCGGUAGGAACACCCGUGGCGAAGGCGGGUCUCUGGGCAGUAACUGACGCUGAGGAGCGAAAGCGUGGGGAGCGAACAGG
rnacentral:rRNA from 1 species